rnacentral:lncRNA from 1 species
GGAAAAUAGUGAAAUUGGUACCAUUGGAAAGGUCUAUGUGUCUACUUUCCAGAGACACCAACCAUUUGAUCAUACCUAUCAUAUUAAGUGAGUUAUGGCCGUUUUCGUAAAGUAUGACGAAUCUGUCCGAGAAUCUGAUUUUGGCAAAACAGUCAACUUCGACGGGAUUUUGUGAACAGCUCCUGAUGAACCAGAAUGUGUGUAAUAUACGGUUGGAAAGCUAAAUGAGUCUAGUUUCCAAAAACUGUUUACGGUUCGUUCAUAUGUAUUUCCUAGAGAAAGUUACGACUGUUCUAGUAAUUGAAGGUCAUGCUGCGCGGAAACCUGAUUUCCUGCACGAACUUAUGUUUUGAGUUCACAAGCGACCUUCUCCUCAAGAUCUAAGUGUAAAAGAUCAUUUGAGGACAAUACGACAUGAUUUAGUUAAUCAUUGCCCAAUGCCACAUUUGAAGACAUGUUAAAAAGCAUUGACAUGCUAAGUUGUUGAAACUUCCGUGAUUAGUAAGAAUCAGGAAGAGCCCUAUGAUUGAUGUAAAGAUCAGGGGGGAUGCGAACUUCAGGGGGAGUCUAGCACAUACAUACAUGUCNN